UCUGCAGACUUAGAAAAAUGUAAAUACCAGACGUGUAAAAUGUAAAUGUAGCCAACUCAAGAGCCGUUUCCUUUCUGGUGUGUGCCUGACAUGGAAUAGGGGUAAUCCUGGUCUAAAGGGAAACGGGGGAGAGGAAGGGAGAAGACUUGUAUAUCAGCUAGGAAUCUGCAGCAGACAUUGCAAGCCAUUUGACGGUACCAUGGUGGGACGAUGGAGGAACAGCGCCCUCUGAACUAGCAUACAGAGAGUUCAAGGAGGAGUUGACUGCAGCGGGUCUGGCAGCCAAUUCAGACAUGGAAGUGAGCUGCCAGUGGCACGGCUGUCUGCCAGCCUGAAGCGAGGAUGGGAUCUGUUUCCCUUGAUGGAAACAGACAUGACCCACCAGCCCCCUAACGUUAGCUGGCUGUUCACACUCAUCAUCUUUAAAGCCUGGCAAGGUGACAAGGCAAUGGGAGGCAGGAAGGCUUUUCUGAAGCACUCAAACUCUGUUUGACUGAAGAGGUUUUCUCAUUCUUCAGAUAAAGUAAGAUGAGAACGUAAUUCCUGAAGGUAACCCUUACCCCCAAGCUCUGUCCUGGAUGCUGGGCCGUUUAAUGAGAUACUGCUGCUGAGUCACAAGGAGAAGACAUGCCCCUUGCCCACCCUUCAGUCUUACAGGAGCCGUGAUUGGACAUCUGUUCCUGUCACCUUGGGGUUCCUCCCAGCGCUUUCUCCUGCAAAAACCUCGAGUGUGAUACCUGGCUUCUCUGCACUGGCUCCCAUGGAACAACUUCGCCAACCUUGAUCUACUGAUGUGCCAUCUACCCUGAAGCAUAUUCUUUGGCCAUGAAGUUUGGGGAGGAGAACCUCUAUCUCCUAGAUCCAGCAUCUUACUUUUCUUCCCUCUCUCCUCUUUCUGGCUUAAACUCUUUCACUCCCAGCCCACACUUUCCUCCAUAGAUCUAACCUUCCAAUAAACCUC